AUUGAACGCUGGCGGCAUGCCUUACACAUGCAAGUCGAACGGUAACGCGGGGGCAACCCUGGCGACGAGUGGCGAACGGGUGAGUAAUACAUCGGAACGUACCCUGUAGUGGGGGAUAACACAUCGAAAGAUGUGCUAAUACCGCAUACGACCUGAGGGUGAAAGCGGGGGACCGUAAGGCCUCGCGCUAUAGGAGCGGCCGAUGGCGGAUUAGCUAGUUGGUGGGGUAAAGGCCCACCAAGGCGACGAUCCGUAGCUGGUCUGAGAGGACGAUCAGCCACACUGGGACUGAGGCACGGCCCAGACUCCUACGGGAGGCAGCAGUGGGGAAUUUUGGACAAUGGGGGCAACCCUGAUCCAGCAAUGCCGCUUGUGUGAAGAAGGCCUUCGGGUUGUAAAGCACUUUUGUCCGGAAAGAAAUCCUUGGGGCUAAUACCCUCGGGGGAUGACGGUACCGGAAGAAUAAGCACCGGCUAACUACGUGCCAGCCGCCGCGGUAAGAC
rnacentral:rRNA from 1 species